rnacentral:rRNA from 1 species
UCCCCUUAGUAGAGGAUAGCCCGGCGAAAGUCGGAUUAAUACUCUAUGUUGUAUUUUGAGGACAUCUGACGAAUACCAAAGAUUUAUCGCUAAGGGAUGGGGAUGCGUCUGAUUAGCUUGUCGGCGGGGUAACGGCCCACCGAGGCGACGAUCAGUAGGGGUUCUGAGAGGAAGGUCCCCCACAUUGGUACUGAGACACGGACCAAACUCCUACGGGAGGCAGCAGUGAGGAAUAUUGGUCAAUGGGCGUAGGCCUGAACCAGCCAAGUAGCGUGCAGGAAGACUGCCCUAUGGGUUGUAAACUGCUUUUAUGCGGGAAUAAAGUCAGGUACGUGUACCUGUUUGCAUGUACCGCAUGAAUAAGGACCGGCUAAUUCCGUGCCAGCAGCCGCGGUAAUACGGAAGGUCCGGGCGUUAUCCGGAUUUAUUGGGUUUAAAGGGAGCGCAGGCGGAGGAUUAAGCGUGACGUGAAAUGUCCCGGCUCAACCGUGGAACUGCGUCGCGAACUGGUUUUCUUGAGUGAGUGCGACGUCGGCGGAAUUCGUGGUGUAGUGGUGAAAUGCAUAGAUAUCACACAGAACACCGAUUGCGGAGGCAUCUCACGAACCCGCCAUUGACGCUGAGGCACGAAGGCGUGGGGAUCGAACAGGAUUAGAUACCCUGGUAGUCCACGCGGUAAACGAUGAUGGCUAACCGCCGGCGAUACACGGUCGGUGGCCAAGCGAAAGCGAUAAGCCAUCCACCUGGGGAGUACGGCCGCAAGGCUGAAACUCAAAGGAAUUGACGGGGGCCCGCACAAGCGGAGGAACAUGUGGUUUAAUUCGAAGCAACGCGAAGAACCUUACCAGGCCUUGACAUCCUCCUGAAUGCCCCGUAACGGGGGCAGUCCUUCGGGACAGGAGAGACAGGUGGUGCAUGGUUGUCGUCAGCUCGUGUCGUGAGGUGUCGGCUUAAGUGCCAUAACGAGCGCAACCCUUUUCAUUAGUUGCCAUCAGGUGAUGCUGGGCACUCUACGGACACUGCCACCGCAAGGUGUGAGGAAGGUGGGGACGACGUCAAAUCAGCACGGCCCUUACGUCCGGGGCGACACACGUGUUACAAUGGCCGGUACAGCGAGAGGGCUGCCCGCAAGGUCAGUCUAAUCAUGAAAGCCGGCCUCAGUUCGGACUGGGGUCUGCAACCCGACCCCACGAAGCUGGAUUCGCUAGUAAUCGCGCAUCAGCCAUGGCGCGGUGAAUACGUUCCCGGGCCUUGCACUCACCGCCCGUCAAG